UACGUAGGGUGCGAGCGUUAAUCGGAAUUACUGGGCGUAAAGCGUGCGCAGGCGGUUUGUCAAGCCAGACGUGAAAGCCCCGGGCUCAACCUGGGAAUGGCGUUUGGGACUGACAGACUGGAGUGCGGCAGAGGGAACUGGAAUUCCUGGUGUAGCAGUGAAAUGCGUAGAUAUCAGGAGGAACACCAAUGGCGAAGGCAGGUUCCUGGGCCAGCACUGACGCUCAUGCACGAAAGCGUGGGGAGCAAACAGG
rnacentral:rRNA from 1 species